rnacentral:rRNA from 1 species
AACGAACGCUGGCGGCAUGCCUAACACAUGCAAGUCGAACGAGACCUUCGGGUCUAGUGGCGCACGGGUGCGUAACGCAUGGGAACCUGCCCUUAGGUUCGGAAUAACUCCCCGAAAGGGGUGCUAAUACCGGAUAAUGUCUUCGGACCAAAGAUUUAUCGCCUUUGGAUGGGCCCGCGUUGGAUUAGCUAGUUGGUAGGGUAAAAGCCUACCAAGGCGACGAUCCAUAGCUGGUCUGAGAGGAUGAUCAGCCACACUGGGACUGGGACACGGCCCAGACUCCUACGGGAGGCAGCAGUGGGGAAUAUUGGACAAUGGGCGAAAGCCUGAUCCAGCAAUGCCGCGUGAGUGAUGAAGGCCUUAGGGUUGUAAAGCUCUUUUACCCGGGAUGAUAAUGACAGUACCGGGAGAAUAAGCUCCGGCUAACUCCGUG